GUGGCGGACGGGUGAGUAACGCGUAAAGAACUUGCCUUACAGACUGGGACAACAUUUGGAAACGAAUGCUAAUACCGGAUAUUAUGACUGAGUCGCAUGAUUUGGUUAUGAAAGCUAUAUGCGCUGUGAGAGAGCUUUGCGUCCCAUUAGUUAGUUGGUGAGGUAACGGCUCACCAAGACGAUGAUGGGUAGCCGGCCUGAGAGGGUGAACGGCCACAAGGGGACUGAGACACGGCCCUUACUCCUACGGGAGGCAGCAGUGGGGAAUAUUGGACAAUGGACCAAAAGUCUGAUCCAGCAAUUCUGUGUGCACGAUGAAGUUUUUCGGAAUGUAAAAGUGCUUUCAGUUGGGAGGAAGUCAGUGACGGUACCAACAGAAGAAAGCGACGGCUAAAUACGUGCCAGCAGCCGCGGUAAUACGUAUGUCGCAAGCGUUAUCCGGAUUUAUUGGGCGUAAAGCGCGUCUAGGCGGUUUAGUAAGUCUGAUGUGAAAAUGCGGGGGCUCAACCCCCGUAUUGCGUUGGAAACUGCUAAAACUAGAGUACUGGAGAGGUAGGCGGAACUACAAGUGUAGAGGUGAAAUUCGUAGAUAUUUGUAGGAAUGCCGAUGGGGAAGCCAGCCUACUGGACAGAUACUGACGCUAAAGCGCGAAAGCGUGGGUAGCAAACAGGAUUAGAUACCCUGGUAGUCCACGCCGUAAACGAUGAUUACUAGGUGUUGGGGGUCGAACCUCAGCGCCCAAGCUAACGCGAUAAGUAAUCCGCCUGGGGAGUACGUACGCAAGUAUGAAACUCAAAGGAAUUGACGGGGGACCCGCACAAGCGGUGGAGCAUGUGGUUUAAUUCGACGCAACGCGAGGAACCUUACCAGCNUUUUGACAUCCCAAGAAGUUAACAGAGAUGUUUUCGUGCCUCUUCGGAGGACCUUGGUGACAGGUGGUGCAUGGCUGUCGUCAGCUCGUGUCGUGAGAUGUUGGGUUAAGUCCCGCAACGAGCGCCACCCCUUUCGUAUGUUACCAUCAUUAAGUUGGGGACUCAUGCGAGACUGCCUGCGAUGAGCAGGAGGAAGGUGGGGAUGACGUCAAGUCAUCAUGCCCCUUAUACGCUGGGCUACACACGUGCUACAAUGGGUAGUACAGAGAGCUGCAAACCUGCGAGGGUAAGCUAAUCUCAUAAAACUAUUCUUAGUUCGGAUUGUACUCUGCAACUCGAGUACAUGAAGUUGGAAUCGCUAGUAAUCGCAAAUCAGCUAUGUUGCGGUGAAUACGUUCUCGGGUCUUGUACACACCGCCCGUCACACCACGAGAGUUGGUUGCACCUGAAGUAACCAGGCCUAACCGUAAGGAGGGAUGUUCCGAGGGUG
rnacentral:rRNA from 1 species